rnacentral:lncRNA from 1 species
UAACUUUCAUUUUUUUUUUUGUUGUCUUAGCAAUUUGCUUCUGGAACUCCAACUUGUUAGGAAGGGUCAUAUGUAAUGAGCCCUUUAGGAAAUUCUGUAAUUGGAUGGAUGUCACUACCAGGACAAGCACUUUAGCCGACGAAAAAGUUUCGUCGGCAUGUUAGCUUAAUUCGUCGGCUAAGAUUUCGUCGGGAAAAGGUCGUCGGCGAUGACUUUAGCCGACAAAUUUUUUUUUUUCGUCGGCUAUAGUCUCACAGUUAGCCGACGAAAAACAUGUCAUCGGUUUUUUUCCCAGACUUUAGCCGACGAAACAAUUAAGAUAUUCAUCGGCUAAAGUGUGUAAUAAAUAAUUCAAAAAUAAUUAUAGCCGACGAAAUAUACUAUAUUUCGUCGGCUAAACCUUAUAAAAAUUUAAAAAAUAACUAUAGCCGACGAACUAAACCUUAUAAAAAAAAUUUAAAAAUAACUAUAGCCGACGAAUUAUGGCAAUUCGUCGGCUAAACCUUAUAAAAAAAAAUUAAAAAAUACUAUAGCCGACGAAUAUAGUAUUUAAAUUUCGUCGGCUAAAGUUGCUAGGUUUCGAAAAAAAAAACUGCAGAAACUUUCGGCUACCUCCAAUCACGACCAAAAUUUGACAGAAUCUUCCUCUCAACAUUUCGAACAACUUUCUAGAAGAAGUCGAAGCUCAAUUCUAAGCCUAAACAGGUCAAUCGACUCAAAAUAUAAAAAUCCCCAAUUUUAAACCCUAAAAACUUCAAAUCUUCGAUUCUCUUCACACACACCGAAUCGAGCUACAAAAUUCUAGAGGAAUGUAGUACUAAUCAAACUCAACUUACCCAUAUAUAGAACUCACCAAAUGGUGACCUAAAGAAGGAGAAAUUCGAUCGACACCGAAUCCGAACCGGCGGAGUUUUGGAGCUUGAUUUAUCCCUCACGGCGGUGUCACUCAAUGCAUCACCUAUCCAGCAAUGAAGUAGAGACGACGGCGAAGCUUUGGGACAAGUGUGGCGGUCUCCGGUGGCUUGACGGCGGAGCUAGGCCGAGAAGAAAAUCUGGCAGAUAUAGACUCUUACCAUCCAUCUUCGCCUAUAUAAAGAACUUUAGCCGACGAAAUUCUUUAUUUUCGUCGGCUAAACUCUUUUGAAAAUUUUGGUUGACCGUCAAAAAAUUUUGGUUGAAAAUUUUGAAAAUUUUUCGACUUUAGCCGACGACUUUUCAUAUAUUUUCGUCGGCUAAAGUCCUUUGAAAAUUUUCCUCCAACUUUGGUUUACCGCCCAAAAAAUUUUGUAAUUUUUUGACCUUAGCCGACGACUUUUUUAAUAUCUCGUCGGCUAAAGUCUAUAAAUUCACGAAAACGCUCAUAUCUCCCCCUAUAUUACGUAGUUUGGUCAAACCUUUCACACGAAAAACUCUCACGUAGAUGAGACGCAACUGCCUAUAUAAAAAUUUUGAGACAUUUACCUUCCGACGAUAGGGCUCCCCAUAGGGAAUAAUAACGGUAAAUAGGGUUGACCGCUACUAUUGGCACCGAGACUUUACCCGAUUUACGUGAUUUUUGAACCAUAGCCGUAUUUCACCAUUUUGAACACAUCUUAUUUCACGAGAUUUUUAAUAAUUUUGCUUCCUAUGUAGAGUUGGUUCACAAAGUUGUAUAACCUACUAAACAAGUUAAACAACAUUAGUAGACACGUGAUUCCAAUGACUAAAAUUCACAAACCAAAAUUCUACCGUCAGAUAUGAUCAUUAUGACGAAAGAUGUCUAUGGUAAAAAAUUCAACUGGAUCCGACAACGUUAAGGGCUCGAUCGAAACGGUCAACCAUAAUCCAUCGUCACUUAUCACACGAAAACGCUCAAAUCUCCCUCUAUAUUACCUAGUUUGGUCAAACAUUCCACAGAAAAAACUCUCACGUAGAUGAAACGCAACUGCCCAUAUAAAAAUUUUGAGACAUUUACCUUCUGAUGAUAGGGCUCCUCAUAGGGAAUAAUAACGGUAAAUAGUAGACACGUGAUUCCGAUGACUAAAAUUCACAAACCAAAAUUCGACCGUCAGAUAUGAUCAUUAUGACGAAAGAUGUCUAUGGUAAAAAAUUCAACUGGAUUCGACAACGUUAAGGGCUCGAUCGAAACGGUCAACUCUAAUCGGAAAUAAGAAAACUGCAUUUUGAAGCCCUAAACGGACUCGGAUGGCCAAAAAGGCCUAUACAUCAUGGCAUUGGCCAUGAGUUUGACUCGUAGCGCCGUUACGCUUCCGGAAAGGUAUCACAAUAGUCAAUCAGACACCAAAUGCCAAAUCUGCAGCAUAGUGAAUAAUAAGAGUAAAUUGCAUUGACCGCAACUAUCGGCACCGAGACUUUACCGGAAUACCGUGAUUUUUCAACCGUAGACGUAUUUCACCAUUCUGAUCAUAUCUUAUUUCACGAUAUUUUUGCGUUUGAAGGUUCUACGUAUAGUUUUCGUCGGCUAAACUUUUAAAAAUUUCGUCGGCUAAAGUUCACAGACUAUAGCCGACGAAAAAAAUUAUUCAGCCGACGAAAUAUUAAUUUCGUCGGCUAAAGUUGACCAUAGCCGACGAAAAUUUUAAAUUAGCCAACGAAGGAAAAUUUCGUCGGCUAAAGUUUUUUAUUUUCGUCAGCUAAAGCCUUUCUUCUGGUAGUGUGUGGUUCAAUGGAAAUGGUCGGGAAGCAAAACUAGUUGAAGGCUUCAAGCUCAAGUCUGGAGAGACGUAUCUCAAUUCUGGGGCCAAUUGUAAACAGCAAAGAUUUUUAACCUUUCUGUAUUUGACUUUGAAACUUUCUUUCUUAAUGAUUCUUGUAACGGGGGAACUAUCUUCGAUGUCAUGUUUCUGGAAAUUCUGCUUCCAUCCUGCUACAGAGAAUGCAAGAAGAUGGAGGCUAGAAUCUCUGGGUGUUUUUUGUGUAACUCUAUGUUCUGUCUCAAUGUUUUCCUGUGUGAGGAUUCUGAUUUGGUACAUUGGUAUCUUCUAGUAUGAUCUCGAAAGCAGUCCUGCCUAGUGUUAGGGCCCAUCCUUGGGUCAUGGUGUAUGAAACUUGAAUAUCAUGUGAUACAAUCUAAACAGAUGAUAAUGAUGUCUUUUGCCUCAUGGGUGCAUGCAUAUUGUCGUAGGUGGGAACGGGGCAGGGGCCAGUAUUGGUCAGUUGGUUCUUUGUUGGCCAAUUGCUUCCUGUCCAGUUGAAGUUGCUUAGUGCGUGGCUAAUUUGAUUCUGCUAUGCUGUGCUUACUUUCUAUUUUUAAUACAUGAAAUGAGUUUUGGUAUGUUAGGAAGACUAUGUAGUUCUGGAGUUCCAUGAUGCUAGUUGUGUUUUGGUUAAUCUGUGCUGUUGAACAUACUCUGUAUAUUACUAACUUAAUUAACGUACAGCAGUUCGAGUGAUUGACUUGAAUGUACGUCAACAGGUCAAGCACUUGGUUCUGAACCUACAUUGCCUUGAGUUCGGAUGAGCCCAAUGGAGAAAUCUAUUUGGUGCUGUUAAAUUUGCUUCUGCUGGCAUUAGAGUCCUCAUGACACCAGACUUCAGCAUGUAAGUUGGAUACCAAAUAGUACGUUACCGUUAAGUUGAAGUGUUAUUUUCAAUAGUGAUAUUGUUGGAUGGGUUUUUGUUAGAAGAAGUGGACACAAAGGUUUUUGAAUGUGCUUUUGGAAAUUAAAAAAAAAAAAAAAAAAAAAAAAAAAAACUGAUGUACAAGAUGUCAAAUUUUAAAUUUUAAAUUUAAUCAAAUCCAAUAUGUACAAGCUACUGUAUAUUUCUAAAGUAUUUAUAUAUGUUAAAUACGUCAUUGCUUUCAGAAGCUUGCAGAAAAGUUCAUUGCUGAUGUAGAUUGUACCAAUGCAGGUGAAAUAACGUAACUGAUCAUAAAGCCUUUUUAAAUCCUGUCAUAUUUUUGUUUGUACGCCACAACUUGGCUUGAUACACUAAUAUCCAUCCUUUAUGCAGGAGAAAGUAGAGAUAUAAAUUAGAAAGUUAUGUAAAAGCCUUAUGCUCCAAAGCUUCAAACCUUAGCGAUUUUGGAAGACAUGCGGGUAAGUAGACUAUGAAUUACUUUUGUUUUGCAAGGUCAUCUUAUGUUCUCUAGAUAAUGUGAUCUCACAUUUGUACUGUAAUUUGCUUAAUUUGAGAAUGUUUUCCCAAGUGAUUGAUAUCAACUAGGUUGUGUACUAGACUAUUAUUUUGCUUUAAAUGUAUACAUUCAAUUUAAACUUUUUGAUUUGGCAAGGAUGUUGUUUUGCCUUUGAUUUUGAGGUAGUAUGUUUGAGUGUUUGACUUAUGAAUUUCUUGAACCUUGCAAGGUGUGGCCAGCAUUCUCCAUUGUGAUUUUGAAGAAAUGCAGCUCAUUAGGAAAACGUACAGUUGGGUCCAGAGUUAGAUGAGUCUGGAAGCAUAGUUAUUGAAGCCAUACUUCUGUAGGUAUCAGAGAAGGUUAAUCUUAAGUUGCCUUUGUAAGUCAGGUUAAUUAUAACAUGUUUCUUGUCGAUGUAGAUUGUUUUUAUUUGUUUAACUUUUUAUUUGGUUAGCUGUUUGUAAAUUGUAAUUACGAUACUUGAAUUGUGGACGGGGAGAUUUAAUAUAGCAACUGGGUUUCUGUUGAUUACAUAGGUUCACUUCUAGUAUCCGAUUCAUAAUAAUUUUUUUUAAAAAAUCAGUUUUAAUGAAGCCACAAAACCCAAAACAAUCGUGGGUGACUUGUAUGAAUAUAAUGUAGAUAUUGGCACGAUUGAUAAACAAUCGUGAGCUCUUUUGACAGUUUGUGGUGGUAGGUCCUAAAGUGGGGUCCAUGUAAGAAGUCUCACGAUUGCAGGGCAAUUGUGAUAAUAUUUAGCAACAGCCACGGCAUUAAAGGCCACAUUCCUUAAAAAUGUUGCUGCAUCGUGGGUAAAGUCCACAGCCACAAUCAUUCGUGGGCAAAGGAGUCAAAGCCCACAAAUAGGAAACGUGGGUACUAGAGGUUUUUUUUGUAGUGGACAACAGAAGCCAUGCCAUUCACAGAUUAUAAAGCUUCCCCAUCCAAUCUAAUGAAGAAUCAUGGACCAAUAGAGCCCAACAGUGUUACAGUACACCAGUGCUAAUGGUAUUUUAGGGCAAAUAUGCUCAUGACUUCACUGAGUAACUGUGAAGGAAAACUACAACCACCAGAGCUUAAGCCCCAAAGCAACAGUAGAGUUACACUAUUUUUAGCCUAACCGGGAAAAUAAAACUUAGCUUGUAAAGAAUUACUUGCUCAUUCAUUCAAGUGAACAUCACAAAUCUCGAACCUACCUAGCUAGCUAGCUCGAAGUACCAAGUCAACUAGCUAGGGAAACUAGUUAAGGAGACAUGUAUUAUCCCAUCGGUUCUAUUCCCGAUUCAUAACUCGAAAGUUUUUCUGGCCUUUUGCUAAUCGGGGCUAAAACUCCGGAAAUGAAAAAUUCCAAAAUAGGAAUAACACUUGAGACUAUCAAAAAUGCCCAGAAAAAAUCAUAGGUAGAUAGGUAUUACGCUAGUUGAAUCUGCAUGCUGUCACUAGUUAUCGCUUGGAAAAUUUCCACAAGUCAUGUCAUAUUCAGACUGCAAAUUAGAAAUUUUCCACCAGUCAUCUUCGUAUUGGAAAAGGAAAUUGUUUAAUACCAUUUACACCUACUUGGGCACCUUGACGAAAUGAUCUUACCGUCUAGAAACUGACAUAAACUAAUAAACCAAACAAGUUACAACUUACAACUACAACCUGUCACCGUGAUCAUCAAGCAUAACGGAAAACGAAUUGUCACAUUGACAUUGCAUAGAAUAAUUAGUUGGUUGCAUAAAAUUAUCGAUGAAAAUGGAAGUUGUGCCACUUGUGCCCCGUCAGUCAAUUUAUAGUGAUGUGUGGUGGAAAAAAAAUAAAUUCAAAAGCCAACUAUAAACUUUUGCCACCUGAUCAGAAAACAAAUCACGUAUAUAUAGGCAGAAGGAUCCUGGCUUGGCAAAUCAGGGACCUCAAGCUUUCGUUUUCUUGAAACCGAUUGAUCUCGUAACUUUGCUUGACUUUGAAAGUUUUGGGCUUACCAAGUGGCUUCAGGAAAUAAGAGAGACGACCAAGGCAUUUUGGUUCACUCACAACCUCAACCUAUUCAAUUUGUCUACAAAAAGCGAGCUUGCAAGCACAACUUAUUCAGUAAUAAGAAAUACAGUUCAUACAUUUAUACCUCUCAGUUUAAGUUCCAGAAUCAAUUGGUGCAUGCAGGUUACUAAGUAAGUAGUUUGAGUAUAUUCAUGGUCACAACUUUUGCAUGAUAAAUCGAUGCAUAGUUAAGUGCAUCAAUGCAUGGAUAAAUUUAUGAUGUGCCUCUUAAUCUUCUUAAAGAGGAGGAUGAAAGGUUGGUUGGUUCAUUGUUCCACACCCGGAAAUAAUGGAAGAAGACCUCGAUCAACAUAUUGCAAAUGUUAUAUUCCUAUAAGUCAGUAUAUCCGCUAGCGAAAGUUAUCCUAUAAGUCUAUAACUCCAUAAGGUUUAACCCCAUGAAUGAUGGAAGCCGAAGCCCUAUGUAUGUUUAGUCUCGAGUUAUAAAAUAUAUACAAGAAGUGAACUAAUUAAUCGAGCCAAGACUUUAGGUUCAAGUUUUGUAACGUAAAUUAUGAGUUCUAUUAAUUAGUCUAGUUAGGUGUAAACGCAACGUACUUCUUUAUUAUUCAAGCCUUAUUUUUUGAGUUAACAAACAUAAACAAAGAUGCUAUCAACUAAACAAAAAAAAUAAGUUCAGUCUAAUCUAUACACCGUUAUUCCUUCUUCUUUUAAUUGAUAAUUUAUAUAGAAUGUGAAACAAUGUAUAAUGUUUUUCAUUUGGUAUCUCAAAGUGAGAUUGAUUAGGACCAAGAAAGGAAAACAAAAAGAAAGACUCUGCUCCCUUCGCUGGCUAGAUAAUUGACUAUUAAUGCAUGCGGGCUUCAUUGACCAUUAGUUUCAUACUUCCGGUUUGGCCAGAAAAAAAAAAAAAAUUUGAAAAUACUAUCAUUAUGUCCAGUUAAAUUCUAAAGAAAUACCAUAAUGGGAACAUAUAUGAUAGAUUGAUGGUCAGAAGACCCCUAUAAAAGACAUUGCACAACUCACUUUCAGAUCAUAAACAUACACAAAUUAGUAACAUAUAUCGUGAGUUAUUCCUUAUAAUCACUCGCGCAAUACUUGAAUGCCAUGGCCUUAAUACAUGGUAGGAUGCAAAUGCUUAUUAUCCAACUCUCUUUGUUAAUGGUGGCAGUAACCCUAGCAUCUUCUCAAGCGCCAAGGCCUGCAACCUGCUCCGACCGCUGCGGUGAUGUCGAAAUCCCAUAUCCAUUCGGCAUAGAGCCUAGCUGUUACAUGGAGGUGCCGGAACAAGAUGAACAGCAAUAUUCAAGGUCACCUGUGACCAGGCCACCACGCCACCGUUACUCAAGUUCUUGAACGGUGAUAUCCUCAACCAAAGCAUUACUAACAUUUCUGUAGGUGAGAGUAAGAUGCAAGUAAUGCUGCCCACAUCCCGGAACUGCUACACCGACGGUUACUACAACGAUUCUUUGUACAGAAACAGUGAGCUCAUCCUCCCCUCUGGUUACACCAUCUCUGAUAAGAACAAGGUUUAUAUCAUUGGAUGUAACAAAAUAGCACUAUACCAAGGUUUUGUCACCCAAUUCAAGUCGAGCCAGAGCGAACAGAAAUCGAGAAGCUGGGGACAACCGGCGUGAGCUUGUGCCAAGAUCUACUCGGAGCGUUGUCCAACAAUUGCAGUGGCGUCGGGUGUACCCAAAGGACCAUCAUAAGUGGACUUCACAGUAUUAACUUGGAUGUGUGGACAAUCGGUACAGGCCUUGGAAGCACAUCACAGUGGGCACUAGACUACCCGUGCAGCUACGGUUUCAUUGUGGAUGAUCGCAAUUUCACCUUCGCCGGGAAUGCAACUUUUAAAGAGAUGGACAGCAGCACAAACUCGCCGGAGCUUCCGGUGGCUGUUAACUGGGAAAUUGAAAAGGACAACUGUGAAGUUGCCCUCAAUAAUCAAACUUCUUAUGCAUGCAAGGCCGCAAAUACUGAAUGUGUCAACGGCACUUCAGGUGGAUAUUUCUGCCGGUGCCAGAAAGGUUACCAAGGGAACCCUUACGUCCUUGGUGGUUGCGAAGGUAAAAAUCUUUUACAUUAAGCUCGUAAAUGUUUACCUGAUCCACAUCUAACUAAUAUAUACGUUUGUUUUUCGGUUUUAAUUUCAGAUGUUAACGAGUGUACUAAUUCGACCAUCUGCCAUCCUACUUCAACAUGCAAAAAUUUAGUAGGAAGUUACACUUGUAAAUGUCCCAAGGGGCGCCAAACAAAUGACGACAAUAACAACAAUCCUUGUGUCAAAAUCAUCGGAAAACCAAAGAAUACUUCCCUCCAAAUUUCACUGGGUAUGGAUUUGCUAUCACUGAGCAGAAACUUCUUAUUAUCGUUUGUACGUCAUAUUGAGUUGUAUCAUGAUUAUGUGCAGGUGUCUGUUUGAGCUUCCUUGUCGUAUUGAUUAUAACAUUUUGGAUAUACUGCGUAAUGAAAAGAAGAAAGUUCAAGCAACUCAAAGAGAAGUACUUCAAAGACAAUGGUGGCUUCUUGUUACAACAAAAAUUGGAGAAUUUUGACGGACCUCAAGCAGCCAAGAUCUUUACAAGAGAAGAGCUUAACAAGGCCACAAACAACUUCGAUGACAGCGGAAAAAUUGGCGAAGGUGGCUACGGAUUUGUUUACAAAGGAACAUUGCCGGAUAGAAAGGAGGUUGCCAUAAAGGUGUCGAAGAGUAAUGCCCCAAUGACCCAAAGUAAUCAGUUCAUCAAUGAGGUGAUUGUUCUUUCACAAAUCAACCAUAGAAAUGUGGUGAGGCUCCUAGGUUGUUGCUUAGAGACUCAAACUCCUUUGUUAGUUUACGAGUUUGUUAGCAAUGGCACACUUUAUGAGCACAUUCAUAAGAAGAAUGGCAAGGAUCUGCUUUCUUUUGGGUUACGAAUGAAGAUAGCAGCAGAAACAGCAGGAUCCCUAGCAUACUUGCACUACUCCACAUCCAUGCAAAUCGUGCACCGAGAUGUGAAGGCAACUAACAUCCUACUGGAUGAGAAUUUCACUGCCAAAGUAUCAGAUUUUGGAGCUUCAAAAUUGGUUCCCGAAGAUCAAAAUCAACUGUCUACUUUAGUGCAAGGCACGCUAGGGUACUUGGACCCUGAAUAUCUUCAAUCAAACACACUGACGAAGAAAAGUGAUGUCUAUAGUUUCGGCGUUGUUCUUGUCGAGCUUAUAACGAGUCAAGUGGCAAUUUCUCACAAGAAGCCUGAGGCAGAGAGAAACCUAGCGAACUGUUUUGUAACGUCAGUGGAAGAGAAUCGCUUGGCUCAUAUUCUUGAUCUUGAAAUUAUCAAGGAGGGAAGCUUUGAAAUAGCUGAACAAGUAGCCCAUCUCGCCAAAAGAUGUUUAAGUUUGAAAGGAGGAGAUAGGCCUACCAUGAAAGAAGUAGCAAUGGAGCUAGAGGCAAUACUGGCUGUUAUGUCAAAGCAUCCAGGAGGAAAGCCUGACUCCUCCCCCAAAGAGACCGAUUACUUGCUUGCAGCGUCACCUUCAAACGCUUGCGUUGUUGAUGUUAGAAGUGAUGAAGGUGAAGUCAUAACCAGCAUAGAUUAUGACCAGAGCAUGCAGAUUCAAUCCCAGAUGAUGAAGCCUCAUGAUGGUGGGAGAUAGUUCAUCAAUUUGCUAGCUUCUCUUUCAUAGCUAGCUAGUUAUGUGUGGAGUUGUUCUUAAUUUUCUUUACUACUUUUGAGUAUGCCGUGUUAAAUAAAAGAUGUAUGAUCAUACUAUGAUUAUUCCUUCUUUGAACAACACUUCGAUUUAUGUUCAUAACCAAUUAUGAUUACGUAUAUGACUUCAACCGAAGAUGUUACGUUAAGAUCUGAACAUUAUGAUGCAUUCAUGCAAAGAAUAUUUAUGAUACAGUACCUACAAUAUCCAAUGCUGGAUCUUAACUUAAUACGAGUAUAUGUCAAUAAACAAUUAAAUGACAGCUAUAAGAAGUUAAGUAAGAUCUGAACAUUAUGAUGCAUUCAUGCAAAUAAUAUUUAUGAUACAGUACCUACAAUAUCCAAUGUUGGAUCUUAACUUGAUGAGACCCAUGUACUUCUGUGACAGUGAAUAUAAGAACCAAAGUUACAUACAGUUAAAUUAAAUGAUGAUCAUAAAGGCAAUAGCAGUAAAAUAAACUCACCCAAAUAAACCGAUGGAGUUGAGGUCGAUGAUAAUAGCAGCAAUCAUAAAAUUACACUAGGCAUCCAGGUUUAUAUGCAGAGAAAUACCAGUAUACCAUGAUUAAAAAAUACCUCAAUUUUCUAGUCCAGGUUAUAUUAUAUGCAGAGAGCAACUAACAAAGGUCAAAAAGAAGAGGCAUCCCACUAUAUGGCACUGCAUAUACUUGCAUAAAGUCAUUAAGACUGACAAGCAUUAUGGCCAACAAAGCAAGUCCAAAGAAGAACAAAUAACUAAACUCAAGUCGACCUAUCCACCUAAAAAUUAGCAAAGAGGUAUAUAUGCCUGAGCAGCUAUCUGAUGAAGACAUAAUAUUCUGCUAGAGGAUCUCAUAGUCUAGGUACAAAACGCUAGACAAAGAUGCAUCGAAUGAAUAAUCUAAAUAGACUAUUUCACCAGAUUUUGCUCCACACGAACAACAGGUUCAUAAUAAGAUCCACAUUCUCUUAACGAGUCAAAAUAGGUUAUGUACCUUAAGAGCAUGGUAUGGUGGAGUCCUCUUGCUCUUGGAACAACAACGACCGUGUUUUUUGCUAGGAUAUGUUUUUACAAGAACGCGUAUCUAAACUGCAAGGUUUGGACCAACGGUGUGUUCCAUAGCUUGCUUCUUAACAAUGUUCUCCUCUUCCAGGACAUCUUCGUCAUCAGGACCAGUAUGCUCAGGUGGUGGAAUUGAACCUAUCUAACUACAAACACCGUCCUCUACCCAAAGAGAGCUAGAGGAACACAAAAGUAUCAAGUCACAACUCAUAAGUACAACUCAGAAAGGAAAGUUGAGCAGAUACUGAAUUUCAGUAUUUUUACCUUCCACUUUGUUUCCACUUUUCCCUAUCCAGUAUCCUGGCUUUAAAAAGUAGAACACUGACUUCCUCACACCAGAUACAUUUGGGAUGAUAUUACCGAAGUAGAUAGCCAAUGCGAACCGGAGGAAGAAUGUACGUAGCCGCUAGCCAUUCAUAUAUAUCAUUCUAACAAAGUUCAAAUGAAUAUGUUAGGGAAUCAGAGAAAUGUAUACGUAAUGGUUUGGAACUUUGGAUAAUGAAAAUUAAUUAAUGUGUUUACAUGAAAUAUAGAUUAUGUUACUAGAAACAAACUCAUAACAAAGAGUUUAAGAAUCUUGACCUUUGGAGCCUUGUCUGGGUUACAUAGCNNNNNNNNNNNNNNNNNNNNNNNNNNNNNNNNNNNNNNNNNNNNNNNNNNNNNNNNNNNNNNNNNNNNNNNNNNNNNNNNNNNNNNNNNNNNNNNNNNNNNNNNNNNNNNNNNNNNNNNNNNNNNNNNNNNNNNNNNNNNNNNNNNNNNNNNNNNNNNNNNNNNNNNNNNNNNNNNNNNNNNNNNNNNNNNNNNNNNNNNNNNNNNNNNNNNNNNNNNNNNNNNNNNNNNNNNNNNNNNNNNNNNNNNNNNNNNNNNNNNNNNNNNNNNNNNNNNNNNNNNNNNNNNNNNNNNNNNNNNNNNNNNNNNNNNNNNNNNNNNNNNNNNNNNNNNNNNNNNNNNNNNNNNNNNNNNNNNNNNNNNNNNNNNNNNNNNNNNNNNNNNNNNNNNNNNNNNNNNNNNNNNNNNNNNNNNNNNNNNNNNNNNNNNNNNNNNNNNNNNNNNNNNNNNNNNNNNNNNNNNNNNNNNNNNNNNNNNNNNNNNNNNNNNNNNNNNNNNNNNNNNNNNNNNNNNNNNNNNNNNNNNNNNNNNNNNNNNNNNNNNNNNNNNNNNNNNNNNNNNNNNNNNNNNNNNNNNNNNNNNNNNNNNNNNNNNNNNNNNNNNNNNNNNNNNNNNNNNNNNNNNNNNNNNNNNNNNNNNNNNNNNNNNNNNNNNNNNNNNNNNNNNNNNNNNNNNNNNNNNNNNNNNNNNNNNNNNNNNNNNNNNNNNNNNNNNNNNNNNNNNNNNNNNNNNNNNNNNNNNNNNNNNNNNNNNNNNNNNNNNNNNNNNNNNNNNNNNNNNNNNNNNNNNNNNNNNNNNNNNNNNNNNNNNNNNNNNNNNNNNNNNNNNNNNNNNNNNNNNNNNNNNNNNNNNNNNNNNNNNNNNNNNNNNNNNNNNNNNNNNNNNNNNNNNNNNNNNNNNNNNNNNNNNNNNNNNNNNNNNNNNNNNNNNNNNNNNNNNNNNNNNNNNNNNNNNNNNNNNNNNNNGAUGGAGAAACCAACAGUCAUGGUGGAAGAUGAAUUCCACAAAACUCAAGUCGACCUAUCCUCAUUCAUAACAUUCCACAAAAACACAUAUGCAUCAACAAAACAACGAAUUGUAAAUCGAGCAUGUUGGUACCUGAUUGGUAACAGCCUUGGCCAUGCGAGGGAAUUCCUUCCUCAUCACAGACUUGUGAACCAAGCUCGCAGGCUUGUUCCUCCUUCUUGGUGAUCUCCCAGAUCAGCUGUCCUGGAACGGUGGCCAUUGGAAACCUAGCAAAACCUGGAGAAGAAAGAGAGAGAAAGAGAGAGAUUCCAUUCCUCUUCUUCCUCCAAUCUCUAAAUCCCAACCACCAUGUCUCCCAAUUCUCAGCAUCUCUCUCACUCCCACGCGCCGCCGCCUCCCCUACAGCUCGUCUCCAUCGAUCCCAAAAUCUGGCGAGCCUGCGCCGGCAACUCCGUCUCCAUCCCCACCCUCCAUACUAGGGUUUACUACUUCCCCUAAGGCCACCUCGAACACUCCACCAACUCCGCUUCUUCUCUCCCCUCGUGUUCUCUCCAAGCCCCUCAUUCUCUGCCGCAUCGCCGCCGUCGACUUCCUCGCCAAUCCCACCACCAACGAGAUCGUCACCAAGGUCCUCCUCCACCCCGUCCAUCCUGGACUCUCCUCUCACCACGGCUCUGCCGUUAACCUGGAAAGGUCGAGAUUGAGAUUGACGUUGGCCGACUUGGCGAGCUCGGGCUUGGUCGGGCUUGGCCGCGCGCCUCUUCCGGGUGGUGGCCUUGACGGUGGACAUGGUUUGCGAGGGUUUGGAGAUUUAGGGUUUGGGAGGUUGAAAUUGGGGCAGAUCUGGGUCUCCAGAUCUAGAUGAGAGAAAUUGGUUUUAGGGUAUUAGAUAGAGGAGAGGAUUCGAUCAAUUUGAGAAUGUGAAGAGGAGAGAAUUUGGUUUUUAGGGAGGAGGAAGAGAGGUUUUGGUUCUGUGGGUGAGGAACGUUGAGAGAGAGAAAAGAGAGUUGAGAAAAGUAAAGAAAUGUAUCGGGGGGAGUUGAGAGAAUGAGAGUUGGUUUUAAGUGUCAAAAAAAACUCCCCCAAUUAUGCCAAAAAAAAAAACAGCUUCAGACACAUUUAAGUUUCUUCACCAUACGACAGUUUUCUGUCGUCUUAUAAGUGUAACAUUAGGGUACAUUUUUCCUUGUUUUUUGAACGACAAACGUAUGUCGUCUCAAAAACACGUUAAUUUUAACUACUAUUGAGUUGCUAUUUUCAGACGACACUCUUUUAAAUGUCUGUCGUUACAAUAUUCGGGACGACAGACUAAAAGUCUUUUGUCGUCUGAACCCAGUCGUCUGAAGCCAAAAAGGACGUAGUGCUUACUUACUUCUUAUUGCUGAAAUUUAAUUAUUUAUUGACAUAUACUCAUAUUGAUUCACUAAAGUUCUUUGUCUUCAAUGUUGCAGGUGACACUUGAAUGAAUGGUGCAUAUUGGAGUUUGAUGAGUAUGAUGAAAGUAUCAGAGUGCCUUAGUGCAGUUAGGACUUAGGAGGACUUUCUGCACACCACCAUAUUGUAGUUGCUAUUAUUUGGUUUGAUAUUUUUUAUAUUUUAUAGCUUAUGGGUCCCUUUAGAAUAAAUAACUCUUUGUAAUUUGAUUGGUUUUGGUAAUAAGAAUGAAUUUGAGAUUUCUGAAUCAUGUUGUGCAAAUGCUUUAUUAAAUUGUCAUCCAAAUUAAAAUCAGACAACAGAUAUCCCCAUGGACAUCGACGUCUCUACAUAUUCAAACGACAUUUAUAUGUCGUCUUAAAGUAAAAGAUGACCAUAGUAUAUGUCGUCUGAGGUAAGUAUCAGACGACAGAUAAGUGACGUUUGAAUGCAUUUGAGUCGAGAGAAGAGGUUUGACGUAUGUCGUCUGAGAUAUAUUUAGACGACAAAAUAGUAACGUGUGAAUAAGUUUGAGACGAGAGACGGCUGCUCACAUCUUUAGUAUUACUUUAGUUUCGACGAUACUUUUAUGUCGUUAAGAAGCUUUCUAACGACAGAAACUUUAAUUUUGUUACGAAUGUAGGUGCAUACAGACGACAGUUGCUUAUAUACAAUUUGUCGUCGAAGUUGUAUCAGACGUCUAACGAGGUCUGUCGACUGAAUGCUUAUCAGAUGACUGCUUGAUAGACGACAGCUGAAAAAACAUUCAGACGACCGACCUGGCAGGUCGUCUGAAGCCAAAAUUGACGUAGUGAAUCUACGUACACCAAAAAUCACUAGCAAAUAUGAACAUGAACAUAAGGCUCAACUAUGGCUUCAUCGGUUUGAUAGGCUCCACCUGAGCCAUGUCAUACCGAUCUCUUGGGCUUGACUUCAUUGUUGGGUGAUGUAGGAAGGAUGGCAGAAGCAAUCGAGGAACAGACAUUCAGUUGGGUAGCUGACAUUCAGUUUAUCAAUUAUAAUUCAGAUCUUAAGAGUUUACUCUUAGUUUCCUGGCGCGCUCCAGGUUUUGGUCCUAUAGAGUUAUUCGCUGGAAGGCGAGCACUUAUUGGGGUUUAAUGCUGGUUAGCCCUCCAUACUCCUGCUGCGUCAAGUGGUAUCUGGAGCCAGACGUUCCUGUCUCUUGUAUCCUUGAUCAUGGGUGACGUACCGAUUACUAGAGCAGACUUAGAAGGUAUCCUAGAAGGUGUUACUGCGACUUUUACCGCAGCCCUUGCUACGUUGACUAAUCAGGUGAACGAAUUGAAGACUGAUAAUAACAAUAAGAAGCGUGGAGAAAGCAGAGAUAUUCCUCAACAUAGGGUUCUACGAGGGAGAGGAACCACAAUUGCUAGCUGCUCUGAGUCUGAUUCAGAAGAUGAAGCGGUUGAUCAUGCGCAAUUAGGGCAAGAUGAUAAGGAUUUCAGGAUGAAGGUUGAUAUCCCUUUCUUUAAUGGGAUGAUGAACGUGGAGGAAUUUGUGGAUUGGCAAAUUGAAGUGGACAGAUUCAUGGAGCAUAUGAAUGUCGCAGAACAUAAGCAAGUGAAGUUGGUGGUAGCUCGUCUCAAGAGCACUGCGGCAGUUUGGUGGGAUAAAUUGGCAUUGACGAGAUUGAGGCAAAGGAAAAAACCAGUCAAGAAUUGGCGGAGGAUGAAACAAUUGAUGACAGAACGAUUUUUGCCGGAGGACUAUGAACAGAUUCUUUACAGGAUGUACCUAGAUUGUGUUCAGGGGGCGAAGACUGUAACAGAGUAUACCGCUGAGUUUGUGCGUCUUUCUGAGCGCAAUGACUUAGGCGAAUCUGAAGGGCAGAAGGUUGCUCGGUACAUCAGUAGGUUGAGACCUUCCAUACAAGAGAAGAUUCGCUUGCAAACUAUGUGGUAUGUGACUGAGGCUGCAAGCUUGGCGAUAAAGGCGGAGCUGAUGGAGAAGUCCCCUAGGGUUUCUUUUCAAUUCCCAAGAUUCACUAGUCAGAGGAGUACUGAAGUCAGGAGUUCAAUGGGAGAUCAAGGAAAAACGGUGUCGCAGAAUACAGGUGGAAUGGCCACCAGGGCAUUUGGUGCUGUUGGCAGUACUAGCAGAGCGACUCGGGCAGCACCUGUGCAGCGACCUUUUAACCCUUAUGCAAGGCCUUUUCCAGGAACUUGUUAUAAGUGUUUACAGCCUGGUCAUAGAUCCAACGAGUGUACUGCACCUCCGAAGGUGGUUAACGCAGUUCAGGCUUUGGUCGAGGCUUGUGAGGAAGACGAGACGGAGGAAGGAGGCGAUGACUAUGAAGGGGCUGAAUUUGCAGUGGAAGAUUCUCCAGAAAAGGUGAACAUUGUAUUGCAGAGAAUUUUGUUGUCUCCCAAGGAGGAGGACGGUCAACGUAGGAACAUUUUCAGAUCGUAUUGCUCUGUCAACAACAAGGUGUGUAAUAUGAUUGUGGAUAAUGGGAGUUGCGAAAAUUUUGUUGCUGAAAAGUUGGUAGAGUAUUUGAAGUGACCAACAGAGGCCCAUGUGAUGCCCUAUUCUCUGGGUUGGGUAAAGAAAGGUCCUCAAGUGCGUGUAACCAGAACUUGUAAAGUGCCUGUUUCGAUUGGUAAGCAUUAUAUGGAUGAAGUAGUUUGUGAUGUUCUGGACAUGGAUGCUUGUCAUAUUCUGUUUGGGCGUCCUUGGCAGUAUGAUGUUGAUGUUACUUACAGGGGUCGGGAUAAUGUGAUGUUGUUUAUGUGGGGUGAGUUCAAGAUUGCUAAGGCUCCUGUGGUGAACUUUGUCAAACCUGUAGAAAAGAAGAGGGAGAGCUUUCUGAUCUUGUCCAGGAAUGAGCGGGAGAUAGAGGAAGACUUUAAGGAGUCAGAGUUGUGUUGUCUUGUGGUGAUUAAGGGGUUGUUUAGUGCAGAGAAAGAACCUGUGGAGAUCCCUGAAGAGGUACAACAGUUGCUUAAGGGAUUUGAGGAAUUGAUUUCCGAUGAGCUACCAAAUGAGUUACCACCCAUGCGAGACAUCCAACACCAGAUUGAUUUUAUUUCAGGUGCCAGCUUACCAAAUCUUCCCCCUUACCGUAUGAGUCCUAAAGAGAAUGAGAUCUUGAGGGAGCAGAUUGAGGACUUGCUGAAGAAGGGGUUUAUUCGUGAGAGCAUGAGCCCUUGUGCAAUUCCAGUCCUUCUGGUUCCUAAGAAUGGCAACCAAUGGCGGAUGUGUGAGUCAGUUAGAGCUAAAUUGGAGGCCACUAAUGCAAAGAAUAAGGCUGCCGCUGAUAAGCAUCGCCGGAUUAAGUUGUUCAAGGAAGGUGAUGACGUAAUGGUGUUUUUAAGGAAGGAAAGGUUUCCUGUUGGUACCUACAAUAAGCUGCAACCCAAGAAGUAUGGUCCUUUCAAGGUACUACGGAAGAUCAAUGACAACGCUUAUGUUGUUGCACUUCCCGCUUUUAUAUCAAUUUCAAAUACCUUUAAUGUGGCUGAUAUUUAUGAGUACCAUGCGGAUGAGGCUCUUUAUUCUAUUGAGAACUCGGGGUCGAGUUCUUCGGAGGUGGAGGAGACUGAUGUAGGACGGAUGGCAGAAGCAAUCGAGGAAUAGAUCGAUCGUUGCAGGUCCAAACUCGGUUUGCUGCAGAUUUGGCGUUCGGUGUCCUAAUGACUAUUAUUAUACCUUUCUGGAAGGGGAACGGCCCAACGAACAAGACUCGUGGCUUUGCCACGAUGUAUGGGCUUUUUCGGCCAUCCGAGUUUGUUUUGGACCUCAAAUCAGCGUUUUAUUAGUUUUUGAGAUUUUAUGUUUCCUAGUUAUUUUCGGAUUCUGUUUUAAUUCAAUCCUUGGCUUUUAGGUUUGGUUGUUAGUCGCCCUAGGGUUUUGUUUCCCAUAUAUAAGCACCAUUUUGGGUAGCUGACAUUCAGUUUAUCAAUUAUAAUUCAGAUCUUAAGAGUUUACUUUUAGUUUCCUAGCGCGCUCCAGGUUUUGGUCCUAUAGAGUUUUUCGCUGGAAGACUCUCCACUUAUUGGGGUUUAACGCUGGUUAGCCCUCCAUACUCCUGCUGCAUCAUUGGGGAACCCUCAACAGUGAAGCGUACACAUGACCUAACACCAUCAAUGACAACGCCGAUCUCAACAGCGGCGGCGGUGGCUACGACAUCAAUCCCGGCGACGUCAACCCCAUUAGCGUCGAUCUCAGCAGCGAGCCGCACAUCGACAACUAUCACGGCAGCAACAGAGGAUGUUACUGCCAUCGUCAAUUUGGUUGCUCCUUGCGAACCAUUUGAGAGACCCUUGGGACUGGAUUUUAUUGAGGGUGGAGGAUCUUUGUCUCUGCCAAAGACCCAAUCUCGAACACAGACCUUUGCUUCCAUUGUUGGAGGUUCAAUUGAUACAAUUGACCCUACCAUCAUUUGCCAACUACCAAACCCAGAGGUACACGGUGACAUGAUCUAUGUCAAGAUUAGUGACGAUUUAUAUUAUGAACAAUUGCAGAAAUUUCGCACUAAUCUCAUUGGUAGACUUCUACUUCGUAAAGGAUCGGUUCCUAUGAGAACUGAUUCUCUGAAAGCUUCCAUUGCGGCUCAGUGGAACACUACGAACCCAUGGCAGUUGGUUCCAUUGGGUAAGGGUUUCUUUGACAUUCAUUUCAAUAGUGAAGAUGACAUGAGAAGAAUUUGGAGAAGUGGUACAUGUUCUCUCGCUAAUGGAAUUUUUCGGUUAUUCGAAUGGAAGCCAGACUUCAUACCCGGUGCUAAUCUGCCUCAAACACACACCCAAGUGUGGAUACGAAUUUCUGGAUUAAGCCAAGACUAUUGGCAUCCUCGCCAUCUCAUGGAGAUUGCCCAUGGGGUAGGGACACCAUUGCAGAUAGACAAAGCGACGAGGGAGCGUCAAUUUGGUUAUCGGGCCUAUUGAUUCAACAAUGGCGGUGUUGGUUUGUCCAAGUGAACCACAAUUAGAGAGCAUUGUUACAACAAGAUCUGCAGGUAAUAUUGUUAAUGUUACUGUUAGUAACAACUUUGAAUGCCGAUAAUAGGAGUAGGACUGCCGCCAAUGUUAGCUUGUUUGUGGAAUUUGUAACUGAUCGAGAGGAUUUUUGGUAUAUACCAAAUGGUUGUUUUGUUGAAUGUUGAUGAUAAGUGAAGCAGUAUAUUCCGGAUUCGGCCUUUUGUAGUCGUAGGCGGGGGGAAGUUUCCGGACAACUUCACUCUCUGCUCGAGCUAGCUUUCUAUUCCAGACUGGGUCGUCGUCAUUUGCUGGAUUUUAAUAAAACACAAAGGACCAUGGAAAGACUCAUGAGUCUUCUGUUCUCGGGUUGACGUUUGGUCAAUUGCAGUAUAUGAAGAAUUGAAGAUGAACUGGUCCCGCCUUUUAAUCAUCUCCAGCUACCACGCAAAAACAAAAAAAGCAGAAAAAAAAGUCUUGCAUCUUUGGACGCAUCCGCGCGACUUGGACUUUAGUAGUCGACAUUGAAGUGAUCCACUCGUCCUUAUAACUCGGGGUUAAUUUGCUCGAUCAAGAUUCUCCUCCAUUUUAUAAAAAUGGUUUUUUCCCUUCUUUUUAUAAAAUGGAGGAGAAUCUUGAUCGAGUAAAUUAACCCCGAGUUAGGGAAAAAGCCCUAAUGCACAAAAUAGAAAAAGUCAAACCCCAUUUCAAUGAUAAUCUUUUUUAUUAGCCCAUUUGAAUACAAGGUACUUAUUUUAAGCCCAAAUACACAAAUCUUUAUUAAAAUAUAAUAAAAUGAUAUUUUAAAAGACUUUUUUACCCUUAACCUUUAUUUAAAGAGAAAAAAUGAAAAAGAAGAAGGGAAGACUUUCCCGGAAGCACACCGGACACCGGCGCCGGUCACCGGAUUCCGGUCGCCGGAAAAUUGAUGGUGAUCGGAAAAUCGCCGGAGAUGCCGGAGUCUCACUGGAUUUUUUUGAAAAAAAUGUCACCGGAACCCACCGGAUCUUGCCGGAAGCAUACCGGCAAAAAAAUGAAGAUUACUACCCCUAGUAAACUUUUACUGGGGGUAGUAAACUUGCAAAACAGUAGCUCCAAUGCCAUAAUUCACAUUGAAAAAGANNNNNNNNNNNNNNNNNNNNNNNNNNNNNNNNNNNNNNNNNNNNNNNNNNNNNNNNNNNNNNNNNNNNNNNNNNNNNNNNNNNNNNNNNNNNNNNNNNNNNNNNNNNNNNNNNNNNNNNNNNNNNNNNNNNUGCAAUACAAUAUUUUCCUAGUCAGUAUAUACAUUAAAACACAAAAGAAAAUCAACUUAGAUACGGACAAAUAAAGUUUACUACCCUUAGUAAACUUCUACUGGGGGUAGUAAACCGGCCAAGAUAGGACGACCACCUCUGAUCGGAGACGAAGGAGGUUAGAUGAAUCAUAAACAUCUACAGGUUAUGCACAAUGCUUUUAUACACGUGCUCUAGCAAACUAAAAGCUCAACCCACUGCAAUGAAUCAAAGCUCAUGCAAUUGCAGCCCAAGUCUCCCCAAAUUUAAAACACAAAGGAGUCCAUGAUCAAAAGUAAUCACAUACAGAAGGAUCAGUAAAAGAAAAUUAGUACUCAAAUUUAUGAUUCAAAGCUAAUGCUUGUCGUGAGUGAAAGUAAAUUGGAUUCCCAUGAGCAAAAGUAAACUUGAACAUAUACUAGAACAAUAUAUGACUUCUGUGAAAUUGAUUUAUGUAUCUUCUGAGAAAGGAAACAUUUUUCUACCAAUUUCACUUCUAACAGUAAAACUCUCACUCUAACAGUAAGAACUCCAUGUAAAUUCCAAUUAAACAUAAGCGCAAUUUGAUUAAAAUUACCACUAAAGCACCGACUGGCUUGGCGGUUCCAGAUCUGGCCGCGUUCCUAGUCCGAGCGGCGGCGUUGGUAGCUGCGGUGACCGGAGGAAGCUUCACGUAGCCGUUGGACCUUACCGAUAUGCUCCUCGGGAGCGCAAUCCUCUCCACAUUAACAUUCUUGGUGUUUUCCUUGUCCAUGACGUCACUCGUCUGACUGUGAUCGGUCAAUUCCUUUUCCUCCUUGCCGUCAAUUGACAGGCCACGAAUCCCGUUGACGAUCCCAAACGGCGACCUUGGCUGGCUCGCCACAGAGCUUGAGGAAGCUUCGAUCUCUUUCUGUAAAUUCCAAUCUCUUUCGGUGCCGGAUCUGUGAGUGAGAGUUAGAGAGAGAGAGAGAGGUUUGCAGAUCCUUCGUUAGAGAGUCAUCGUCGUAGAGGCAUUGGUCGGCGUCAGUGACGCUUUGAUCGGCGUUGGCUUGCUUCGGCCAGGCAUGGCUGGCUUCAGAUCUCGUGGAGGAUGAGAGAGAGAGAGAGAGAGAGAGAGUUAAUGAUCGGGAAAAAAGAGGAGAAAAAGAGUUAAAUUAGGAUGAGGGUAUUGACGUCUUUUUAUUAGAAUUCAUUGGAAUGGGGUUGGUAAAGAGAUUUUCAUUGGAAUAGGCAAUAAACCUUUAAAAUUAGUACUAAAGUGUCAUUUACUCUAAAAAGAAAACCUUGAUCUAAUUAGAAUCGGAAAAUCAAUAUCUCACAACUCAUGCAUUUGGUAAUUGUUUGACUAGUUUGCACUAGAUGAUGCCCGCGCGUUGCCACGGUUUGCAAUGACAGACAUUAACAUAUCGUAAAUGCUUAUGUAUGGAUUAUUCUGCUGUUAUUUUAUGUGUUGAUGGUUGCAGCAACAUAAGAGGGACAUUAUAUAGACAUUAUAGACAGUACAUUACAUGCAGAUGACGCAGAAAAUGGAAUAUUAGAUUUACAAAAAUCCAUGAAUUUAGCGUCCGAUGCCAUACAAAUGUACAAAAUUUGGUCACCCUAUUGGAUUUGAUAUUUCUUGACAGCAUCAGCGCUUCACCUGUUAACAAAGAGUGAACAACUUGUCAGGAUACUUUUAUGUUACCAAUCCACUUAGGCCGUUUCUUUUUUUUUUUUUUUUUUUUUUUUUUUAAUUUUUUACAAAUGACUGCGAAUUUUUUUUAAAUCUCAUUGGUGCAAGAAAACAGAGUUAAUCUGCAAUUAAAGUAGCUCUCUGUAAUGCAGCAAAGUAUGUCGCGACUCAGUUGCAUAAAGAACAGAGGCAAAAUUGAAUUCUAGGCAUUUCAAUACAUUGUAUAAAUUUAAUUGCCACAUUAGGAUGAUGCCUGCACAUUGCCACGGUAUGCAAUGACGGAUAGUAACUUAUUGUAACUGCUUUUGUAUUACUUAAGAGUGAAAAAGUUCUUACAUCAAUCACAACUCUGGCCUAUUGCAAGACCUCCUCCUGUGUAGUGCUCCACUAUAUUUAGUGUAGGCUCCAAGCUCAUCAGCGGAGCCAAUAUCUCUAGCCUGAUCAAGGAAUAAACUUUUGAGUGCCAAGGAAAACCAAAGCUUCAUAUGUAGAACGGCUCAAAUCAAGUCAAAUUUCUGAAUUUUAAUUGAACACACCGCGUAUAUAACUCUUGCACCUCCUCCGGCAACCAUAGUCCAAAUUCUUCCCUUAGCGUUCAGUCAAUUUCAAAGAUGCACAUGUCUGCAAGCAAUUGACAAAUGAACCUGAUUAAAGCAUGAUACUAAAUGGAAUUAUCUAAUUGGUGAAUAUAUUUCCUUAUGAACAUGGGGUGUUUCUGUAUGAAUAUUGAAAGCAAUUAAAAUUGAAUACAACCCAAAUCCUGCAUGAAAACUAUCAUUGGCUUUUAAAAAAAUGUCAUUGAUGAGGUAAGGCAUCUGUUCGUACCUUUUCAUCUAGCCAAUGAAUAAACAUUAAUGUAGGACUCAUAACUCUUCCAAACAACAUUGGAAUUCAAUAUUGCCCCACCUGAAACAAUAAUAUCAUGUAAGGUGGUGUUGAAAAUGGUACGCUAAAAUAGAAGAAACAUUAGAUAGUAUCAAAUGGCUUUUGUCAACUGAGGGUAAUAACAACAGAAAGUGAAUGCAGUUAUUGAAGUUCUUGAAAGCACCAGUGUCAUCCAGCUCACCUCUCAUAUCCAAAGGAUAUGGCUUUCCAUCAACCAAUGCAAAAGGAUUCAUCUCCAGAACAGCGAAGUCGAGAUCUGAAACAUAUGAAUUGUUAAUAAGGUUGUUCUUGAAAAUGUACCAUCAAAUGGAACCGUUAAAGACUUCCAACACCCUUAAAAUAGAACCAAAAAAAAAAAAAAAAAAAAAAAACAAACUUAGACAAACUCCUCAUUUUCACUUUUAAUCAGGAUCCCAAAAUAUAAUCUGUUAAUGAAAUUUGAGCAAAAAAUGAACAUGAACUCAAGCAUCAAGAAUCAGACAUAAUAAAAUAACUUGAUUGUUCACGGAUACAACAACGCAAUACCUUUCUUUGUGAGGAAUAUGGAUCGCAAUCCAGGCAAAAUAAACUAUGGCCAAGAAACAAAACCUCUAUCAGAUCAACAACACACAACAAAUACUUCAAUUAGAUCAUGUUAGGAGCUAAAAAGAACACACCCACAACAGAUGCUACCGAUGAAACCUUCAACAUGAAAACCAACACCAAACCAAUCCGACGAACACAUAACUUUUGAUAAUAGAAUGAAUCCACAGAGAGCCCGGCAGACCACUGCCGAUGAAUAGCCCAAACUACUAUUUAAGAAUUGAUGAAAGCGUUGGUAUCAAAACAAAGGUAUAAAGACGAUUAGGGAAAAUGAUUACCAGAAAGGUAAGGAACUGAAUCAAAGUCUCCUAAACCCACUAAAUAAAAAUUGUAGUGUUAGACUAAGCAUAUCCAACCUUAAUCAUUCAGAUGCAGCACAACUACACCAAAUCAUGAUUUACUGAAGUUCAAUGAAAUUGGCUAACCCCCUUGCGCUGUGAAUGCAAGUGGAAGGCAACCACACUCGGCUACUUGCAUUCCGAACUGUUCUCAGCUUCAUUUUCUUUGUGCAUUCAUAAUCUGCAAAAAAAUAACAGUCAUUCAAUAAUUCUGGAUUCUUUGGGAACUGCUUAAAGCAAAGCCUUAAGUUAAGUCUUUACUCUUAAAGCAAACCUCAGUGAAUUAUAUUAAAUACCAUCAAUACGUAAUUUUUAUCGAAUGUUGUGUGACAUGAUUUUGUGGAGCUCAUCAUAGGGAGAGUAUUUUUUUGACAAACACCAUAGGGAAGUGAAAAGAACCAAGGAAAGUUCCCAUCUAAUUUCAUAAGCACCUGCUAGUAAAUAAGGCUUGACCUGCACAUGUAAAUGGAGAAAGGCACAAUGAAUAAGGCUAACAAUGCAAUGCAAUGCAAAUAUAUUUUCAAAACAAUUCACUUUCAGGCACAUUAAUAUCACCUACAGGUAAAUAAAUAUGAGUUGAAAAAAUGAAAAGUGGGAAGACAAACUAUAAAAGGAAUUUCACAUGUAGUUAAAUAGUACUACAUUAAAAACUCUCAUACAAUAUACAUCAGAGGCACAGAAAGGUAGUAAAAAAUUAAAAUAUAAACAGAAGUAUCAUUCUCCUCCUUCAUAAUAGUAAUAAUUCAUAUAAAAUCCUAAACUCUAAAAGAUUAUGAAAUUCUCCCUUUCAAGUGUAAAAGAAGGUUCACCACUUAUGCAACAUAGAAAAGAAAGCUGGAACAAAACAUCAAUGAAAGCUUAAAAGCAGUAGAUAAUGGCAAAAAGCAUUUUUCUUUGUUUCCAUGCGCAGGUCAGAAAUUUAGAAAUUGCAAAGAAUUCACAAUAUUCUUAGCCUAGCCUUACGUGACUUCAUUUAACCAUACUGCUAGUCUUAUGCUCAUCUUUUGAUCUUUUAGUUGGACGAUUUCUAUAUAAACAUAAGUGGUACUUCAACACAAAAUCACAGCUUCAGGUGCCACUGAUUUCCAACCACCAUCAAAAGGACAAUUGUGUAAUACUUUCCCAGUUCUCUUUAACUGUCAUUUCUCCCAUGUGAAGAUCAUUUUGACUUAUAUAAGCUGAUGUUCUAAGAAACAAAUUCUGCCAUAUUGUGCCCAUUAUAUGUAACUUACCCCGAAGACUCAAGAUACAUCAAUUACCCUAUUAGACCAGAUUUUUACUGAAGAAAAUUAAUGAACAAAAAGGGCCAAAGUUAACUGUUCUUACUUUCAUAUUUUUACCAACUCUUCCUGCAAGAGCCAAUAGUAAUGUGGUUUUCCUGGAACUUGGGAGAUCUAAAAGAAAAGUCAUUCUGCAAGAAUCAAUUGAAAUAAGAACUGUUUGAUAAGAGCUAGAAUCCAAAUGCGAGAAUCAAUAAAUAAUGAAAAUGUUACUACACAUAUACCAUCAUCACAGGUUUUGUCGUAAGAUCUAUCACUGCAAGAACAUAUAACUUCAUUGUUAUCGAAUCCACAAAACCCACCACUCCUCACGCAAACCAUCAGUGUGAGGUACAUGGUUUUGAUCUGGUUCUAAAUGUUCCCUGGGCAAUGUUAAUGCAAUGUCUGUUCCUACACCAGCAUACCAACUCAGAAGUGAUUCAUUUUGCAUAUUAAAUCGUAACAGUUCUAUUAUAUUGCCACAAUCAAUCAAUCACAGUCAACUUAGUGGACAACAAAGAUUCAUGCAAACCUCUUUGUUUUUAUAUACAAACCCGCUGUAUUUAUAUACAACCUAGAAGCAUCUUCAUCUAUAUGUUUGUACAUGUCCAAACCCUUUCUUUUUCUCUUUUUUGAUCCAAUCUUGAUAAUUGGGCAGUAGGUAGUUUCUUACUAACUCUGUGUACCAAACCAUGUAUGGCUCCAAAGAUAAUAUAUAAAAGAAAUGUAAUCAAUAUGUAUGUUCAAAGGUUACUGAAUGUCUGUAUCUGAUAUAUAAUGAUCAUAUACAUGUCACAGAUGAGAAGAGGAGCUGUCUGUUGAUGAUGAUUGAUCACUAAUUGCCAAAUUGUAACAAUUUUCUUUAUCUUUGUUUUGCACUUUUUUUCCCUUGAUUUUCUAAAAAGGGUUUGACCUUAACACUUCAUCUAUGGAUUGAACUGAACAGAAAACUGAUGUUAAAAGACAUUGAUUUACUUUCCACCAGUAGAAAAUGAUUGGACAUCUUCAGCUAUAAUGGUGAUGCAACACACUGCUUCUGGUCUGAAAUACCCGUUUCCUACAACUAAUUUCAUGAGAAAAAUUCAGAACCCAAUUACAAAACACCACCCAUACUACAUAUGCAACUAACCAUACAACUAAAUACCUUAUUUUGUGAGGAAAACCGAUAGCUAUCCAGGCAAAAUAAAAAAUUAGGCCAAAAACAAACCCCAAUCAGAUCAAUAACACACAACAAAUACUUCAAUUAGAUCAUGUUAGGAGUUAAAAAGAACAUACCCACAACAUAUGCUACCAACGAAACCGUCAACAUGCAAACUAACACCGAACCAAUCCGACGAACACAAAACUUCUGAUAAUAGAAUGAACCCACAGAGUCUGCCGGACCACCGCCGAUUAAAAACCUAGACUCUUGUUUACGAAUUGGUGAAAGUAUUGGCAAUUUGGCAUUAAAACAAAGAUAAAAGACGAUCAGGACAAUUGAAAUAGAAACUCAAAAUGGAUCAUAUACAGAACAAUGUCCUCACCUUGACGAUUUGAUCAUAUACAAAACAAAGUCCAUACCUCGACGAUUACAUUGAGAAGAGCAACACAUAUUUUCAUUCCACGAAACCCAUCUCUCUCUGACUACAAAGAGCGACAGAGAAGAUGGUCAAUACUCAAUACACUCAAAUCCAUCAUGCAGAAGAAGCCAUCAACGCCAGACGUCGACGAAAAACACAAAUGGCAACAACCCAGACUCACAAAUGUCAAACGCAGUUAUAUAAAGAACAAACAGGUGUCAAGACAGAGCAGAUAAUGGUAAUUUUGUGAUUAGUUGCGAGCUGAGGGCAGAACCGUUUUUUUGCAGGCUGAAUGAACAGUUGUAAUGUCUUUCUGUUUUAGUAGGGGUUUUUUACACCAACAGUGUCUGAACACUUGGGUGACUGACAAUAUGGUACCCGAACUUACAAAGUUAUCAAAAUGGUACCUAAACUCGAUUUUUAGUAUCUGCGUAAUACCUGUGGUUAAUCUCCGUCAACGGACUUGUUAAAUGAGGCAAAAAGACUUAUUUGUCCUCCAUUCUCUCUGUCGUCGAUCUACCUUAUAGAGUUCUAGGUGCUGGACUCUCAGUGCCGGUAUGAUUUGAGAUGGGGGAAANAUAAUAUUUCAGAUGGAGAAAGAGACGCUANNNNNNNNNNNNNNNNNNNNCAAAAGUAGCAAUCCCAGAUGAUAUGUUUAUUGAGAACUAGGAUUCCAAAUGUAGAAUUAGUUGGGUAUAUAUGCAAUCUAAGAUGCAAAAUGAUAAACAAAACAAAGAAAAGCAAGGUUCGCAAUACCAAUUCGAACAUAUACGCACGCAGCAGUUUAGUAUUCCACAGGUAAACCAUAAAACAAUAAAAUUUUGCAAGCAGCAAAGUAAAACCUCAACAUACAAAACUUCCCACGAGUCCCAAUUCCAAGCAAAACCCAAUACUCAAAACUGACAAACCAAGCUAAUAAACAUAUAAAGAUAGAAUCUUGACUGUAAAAACCAGAACCGAACAAAGCAAAACAAAGAUGGGAGCUUUGAUAAGUACCAGAUGGAAAGGAAGUGACUAGAGAAUAGAGGAAGUCGAAGACGAAGUUGAGGGCUGCUGUUAGAAAUAGUCGCAGCCUCCUUCAUGGAUAACGCUACACAACAACAACUGGAUGCCCAGAAUAGUUUUUUCGAUGUCGGAUCUCUCAGAGACGGCUGCUCUACGCUCGUCGCGUCGCGUCGCUAUGUCUGAGAGAUCGACGUGGAUGCCGUCGAAGAUGAAGGAGGGGCGGAACGUUUGGAUGGGUGGAGUUGAGUACGGUCGAUGAAGUCGGCGAAGAAUUGGGCCUGGGUCGUGUUGGCCAUUUGCAGAGAACGGCAGUACAGCAGCCAUUAGAGGGGGAUGAGAAAAGAUAAAGGAAGAGAAAGGAAGAGCAACGAAAAAUUAUAAUCCCAAGCACGAGACGCGCCUAGCUUCGGCGUGUUUGCAAGCAAGUGGUAAAAUUUUGUUUUUACCAAUUUACUUCCGUCAGUAGACAAAUGCGGAGCACAGACGCUCCGGAGCAUUCCAGACGUCUCCCACGCACGCUGGCUUAUACUGUUUGAGAUUUCCCCAUGCAAGCUUCUAGAUGAAGGGAGCGGUCCAACUUGUCUGUUUGGUUCCAGUAUGUGUUCCCAAUUCAACUGGCUAUUACUUGAUAUCUGUAAGUCCUCACUAUUGCUAUAAUGAUAAAUGUUGAGCCAAUUAAUCCAAAGGAAUAUGCCUGUUCAUGAUGAUAGUCUACAGCCUUGAAUUUCGAUGUAUGUUUCGAAACUGAGAGCCUAUUCGGCGCACCCGGGUGCGCGACGCACCCGUCAUCUCCACCGUUAAAAUUUUUUUUUUCGGGUCAAAAUCGACGGUGGAUACACCUGGUGCGCCGCGCACCCGGGUGCGCUGUAUAAUUUCCAUUCGAAACUAAGCAUACUAUAGAAUCGAUGAAUAUAAUACUGUUAUAUGACUGGUUGCUUAAUAAAUUGCAGAGUAAAAAAUGCAGGGAAAAAAUUGAAAACAACCACAUUAAUUUGCACGUAUCAAAUUAAUAGUAUGCUUACAUACACUUAUUUUAUGAGGCACUACUAAAAAUGAAACAAGGAUUACAACAACGCAUGGUAUAUAAAUCAAAAGGAAUACACCAACUAAUAUCUAUCUUCCACCACCAUUUCCAUUUGGCAUCAACAUCUGAAUUUGCAUGCUGUCAUACCCAGAAGUCGUACCACUAGAAUUUUGAUCACCUCCUCUAGCAUCCAUAACAUAACUGUCUGAAUUAGGUGACCCAAGCAAGUACUCAUUCUCUUCUGGACAGAAUGUAGCAUUCUUUCCCCACGGAUGCUUUGCCAUAAUUGCCAUUCCCUCUAGCUCCAUGGCGACUUCUUUCAUGCUAGGCCUUUCCUCCCCUUUUAACCUCUAAACACCUUUUUGCCGAGAUUGGCCACGUUUACUGCUGUCUCAAUGUUUCCCUCAUUCACUAUGCAUCAUCAAGAAUUUCUCUUAAACAGUCUUCAUCCAUGGAAGAAACAAGAUGCUUGNNNNNNNNNNNNNNNNNNNNAGAUGGAGAAAGAGAGCUAGAACUAGAGAGUUUUUUGGUGUAAUAUUAUUUUAAUUUUCAAUAUAUUCAUUUUAGGGUUUGUCAGAGUCAAAAGUCUUUUUUACCCUCAUUAUUUUAACACACAUAUGUCACCUAUGGUCAAUGUUAACGUUGACGUGACGAAAAAUCGGCCGUGGGUACUAUGUAGAUACUAAAAAUUGAGUUUGGGUACCAUUUUGAUAACUUUGUAAGUUCGGGUACCAUAUUGUCAGUCACCCAAGUGUUCAGACAUUAUUGGUGCCGAAAAUCCGUUUUAGUAUAUCUAAUGUCUAGACUAAUAGACACAUCUCAGUCAGCAUCAACACUAAUAUGAUACGAGUCCUAAGCUUUGAGAGUGCUAAUCUCAUAAUCACUUGAGUUUGUAUAAGUUACACUCAUUGUGUUGUUCUCAUUGUUUUUUAAUACUAAGUUGAACAAUAACAACGCUCAUCCCCUGCAUAAUCUAAUUGAGUUAGGUGGCUAUAGCUUUAUAUAUAUUGGUGGACAAGAUACACCGUUGCAUCUCAAUUUAGGUAGUUGUAAAUUGUAACUUGUUUGGUUUAUUAGUAUAUGUCAGUUUCUAGACGGUAAGAUCAUGUCAUCAAGGUGCCAAGUAGGUGUAAAUGGUAUUAAACAAUUUCCUUUUGCAAUACGAAGAUGACUGGUGGAAAAUUUCUAAUUUGAAUUAUGAAUAUGACAUGACUUGUGGAAAUUUUCCAAGCGAAAACUAGUGACAGCAUGCAGAUUCAACUAGUGUAAUACCUAUCUACCUACUUUGCAUAUUAUGUACAAUACAUAUCUCCUUAACUAGUUCCCUAGUUGACUUGGUACUUCAAGCAAGGUAGGUUCGAGAUUUGUGAUGUUCACUUGAAUGAAUGAGCAAGUAAUUCUUUACAAGCUAAGUUUUAUUUUCCCGGUUAGGCUAAAAAUAGUGUAACUCUACUGUUGCUUUGGGGCUUAAGCUCUGGUGGUUGUAGUUUUCCUUCACAGUUACUCAGUGAAGUCAUGAGCAUAUAUUGCCUUAAAAUACCAUUAGCACUCGUGUACUGUAACACUGUUGGGCUCUAUUGGUCCAUGAUUCUUCAUUAGAUUGAAUGGGGAAGCUUUAUAAUCUGUAAAUUGCAUGGCUUCUGUUGUCAUAUCAUCAUCUUCUUGUUGAAAAGAUGUCUUCUUGACAAGGAUUACCUGUUCAGUUUGCAGGCACGCUGGCUUAUACUGUUUGAGAUUUCCCCAGGCAAGCUUCUAGAUGAAGGGAGCGGUCCAACUUGUCUGUUUGGUUCCAGUAUGUGUUCCCAGUUCAACUGGCUAUUACUUGAUAUCUGUAAGUCCUCACUAUUGCUAUAAUGAUAAAUGUUGAGCCAAUUAAUCCAGAGGAAUAUGCCUGUUCAUGAUGAUAGUCUAAAGCCUUGAUUUCGAUGUAUGCUUCGAAAUUAAGCAUACUACAGAAUCAAUGAAUAUUGUUAUAUGCCUGGUUGCUUAAUGAAUUGCAUAGAGUAAGAAAUGCAGGGAAAGAACUGAAAACAACACAUUAAUUUGCAUGUAUCAAAUUAAUAGUAUGCGCUUGCAUACACUUAUUUUACGAGGUACUAAAAAUGAAACAAGGAUUACAACAAAUCAAAAGGAAUACACCAACUAAUAUCUAUCUUCCACCACCAUUUCCAUUUGGCAUCAACAUCUGAAUUUGCAUGCUGUCAUACCCAGAAGUCGUACCACUAGAAUUUUGAUCACCUCCUCUAGCAUCCAUAACAUAACUGUCUGAAUUAGGUGACCCAAGCAAGUACUCAUUCUCUUCUGGACAGAAUGUAGCAUUNNNNNNNNNNNNNNNNNNNNAGGAGUGUAAGUGUGCUAGUGCUCCUGCUGUUUCAACAGCUAUCUUCAUUCGUAGUUCCAAUGACAGUGGUGACCUCUUUUUAUGAAUGUGGUCAUGUAGAGUGCCAUGGGCGACAAACUCGUAUACUAGUAAUGGCACUGCUGUCUCUAAACAACCUAGUAGCUUCACCACAUUUCUGUGGUUGAUUUGGGAAAGAACAAUCACCUCAUUAACGAACUGUUCGAUCUGUGUCGAGGUACCUCCUUUUGACUUCUUUAUGGCAACCUCUUUGUUAUCGGGUAGCACCCCUUUAUAGACCGUUCCGAAGCCUCCUUCUCCGAGGACUUGGCUCUCAUGGUAAUUGUUUGUUGCCUUCUCUAGUUCUUCUGUGGUGAAUACUUUUGUUGUCUGCACUCCAUGGUUCUUAAGUUUCUGUUGUAGCAAUAAGCCACCAUUCUCUUUAAAGUUUCUUUCUUUGAGUUUCUUGAGCUUUUUGUUCUUCAUUGUAAAACAAAUCCAUGAAAUUCCAACGAACAGAACCAAGAAGCCCCCAGUUACACCUGCAGAUAUAUGUCAACAAUCAAUAAUGGUGGUUAUCGAGGCAAACUCGCAAUGAGAUUAGAAAUAGUACAUACUCAAUGAUACAAUAAGCAGGAGCGUCGUCUUUGUUUGUUUUUUGCGAAUCUCCUGAAUACAACUUUGAUGAUUCGUUCCAUUGCUUAUGUACCCUCUGUCACACAAACACUUCCAGGUGAAUUUUGACACGUUCCAUUGGUGCGGGUGUUUGAAACCUUGCACUCAUCGAUAUCUGAAAGAAAAUCAGGAAACGCAUUUUAUAAAUCAACCCAAAAUCAGAUAGACUUUUAAUUUCUGGCUGCAGCACUGACUCACACACACACAAACACACACCCUCAAACAAAUUAGAUAUCAAGUGCAUAUUUCACCUUGGCAUCCAUCAGGGAGGUAGGGAUUUCCUUGAUAACCCUCUAGGCAUUGGCAGAUAUGACCAGAUCGGUCAUUGCUGAUGGUCCGAUCGACACACUUACUAUUUGCCUUGCAUGCGUAAUCAGUCUUUCUUUUGAGCUUCAUCACAUGAAACUUCUCCAAUUUCCAAUUCAGAAUCAUGGGAAGCUUUUCAAUGUUGGACAGAUAUUGGAAACUUGUAUUCGGGGAAAAGGUAAACUUGCCUUCUUCCACAAUGAAGGCAUAGCUGCAUUAUUGAAGUCCAGUACGUAUGUAUGAUUAUAAUAACUGUCCAGUGUGACAGUGUAGUUGAAAAGUCCGAUAGGGAUGUCAGUUUUGCAACAGCCAGCACCGGAGCAAGACUGUUCGACGCUGUCACUGUUAGCACAUAUGGACGUACAUCCGGUCAUUAACCACUCUUCGUCUGCACGGUAGCCUCUGAAAAUUGCGUAAGUGUCGCAACCAACGGCAAUGAACUUGUUUCUAGUAUGAGAAACGGUGAAAGGAUGCACCCAGAGAUCUGUUCGAACGUAAUAAUUCUCGCCCUGGCUGUUAUAGCAAUCGCUGGCUACAAACUGCUGUAUCUGCAUCUCACCCUCAGCCAGAGAUAUGUUGGUAAUAACGAUGUUACCAUCUCCCAACGUUGCUAUUGGAGGUUCAGCGGAUGUGUUACAACGGACAGGAAAGUCUUCUGACAUGUAACAAUCCUUUUCUAUGCCAAACGGAUAUGGAAUGGUGAGAUUGCCGCAGUGGUCAGUGCAGCCAGGCUUGGCUUGAGGCGGGACCGCUUCAGCUGCUACUGCUUCUUCGGCCGCUGCCGCAAAUGCGAAGAGAACCGAUAGCACCACCAGUAUGAAUUGCAUACUUAAGUCAGUAUCCGCUAGCGAAAGUUAUCCUAUAAGUCUAUAACUCCAUAAGGUUUAACCCCCAUGUACGAUGGAAGCUGAAGCCUUAUAUAUGUUAGAGAAAUUUUAAAUACACACCUUUAAUCUCUUAAUAUACACCUCGAUUAUUUUAUAUUUCACAUUAGAUUUUAUAGGUAUGUAUAAUUACAAAAACAUUCAUCAAUUAUUAAGGGAAAAAAACACCAUCUUAUCAAAAACCUAACUCUUCUCCACUAUUACUACGCAUCAAAAGAAAAUAAAUAAAAACCUCUUCUCCAAAAUUCAUCACCUGAAUUUCGACUAAUGUCGUAAUCACAUAUACUAUUUACCGAUUCAUUUGGGUUUUUUUUUAACCAACUUUAGUUUUAUGCUAUUAUACUUCUACAAGUUUCUUAACUUUGAAAAAAUUAUGUAUGUUUAAUAUUUUUUUUUCUUCAAAUUCUAGCCGAUUAAUGUCAUAUUGAAGAUUUGGAGUUUGAAUAUAAUAUUACUCUUUUGAUUGUAAAUUGAAAAAUAUCAAAAAAAAAUUUCUAACCCAAUCAAAAAAAAUACUAAAAGAAAAAAAAACGUAAACAGAGUUGUAAAAUAGUAAAUAUAUAAUAAUUAUAUUAAAUAACAUAUUAUUAUUAGUUUUAGAUUGAAGGUAUUUUAGGCAGUUUGGGAUGUGUAUUUAGUAUAAUAUUGAAAUGAAAAACUAAAUAGGUAGUGUAUUAAGUAAGGGGUGUGUAUUAAAAUAUCAGAGAUGUGUAUUUAAAAUUACUCAUAUAUGUUUAGUCUCGAGUUAUAAAAUAUAUACAAGAAGUGAACUAAUUAAUCGAGCCAAGACUUUAGGUUCAAGUUUUAUAACAUAAAUUACGAGUUCGAUUAAUUAGUCUAGUUAGGUGUAAACGCAACGUACUUCUUUAUUAUUCAAGUCUUAUUUUUUGAGUUAACUGACAUAUAUAAACAAAGAUGCUAUCAACUACAUGUAUAUUCUCUUACCUUGUAAAAUAAGUCUUCCAAAAAAAAACAGUAAAGCUUUCAAGUGAACUUUCAAAAUCGUAGUACAGCGCGGACAUAAUUUCAGGUACUUAUGAACUUGCUAAUGAAAGUUUUAAGAAAUCCAAAAAAUUUAAUAGAGGUUAUGUGUUUCUGCUAAAAAUAAAAAUGCAUUAGUGAGAUUAAGUGCAUGCAGCAGGGUUGGUUAAUAGACUUUAACUUCUUCGUCGCUAGUCAAUUCUAAUUUAUAUACUCAUACAUCAUCACUUGCGUAUAAUUUAAUCUAAUCUAAACACCAUAAGACAUCCUAACCAAAGAAAUAGGUUCAGUCUAAUCUAUACACCGUUAUUCCUUCUUCUUUUAAUUUACAAUUUAUAUAGAAUAUGAAACAAUGUAUAAUGUUUUUCAUUUGGUAUCUCAAUAAUGUGAGAUUGAUUAGGACCAAGAAAGGAAAACAAAAAGAAAGACUACUCCCUUCGCUGGCUAGCUAAUUGACUAUUAAUGCAUGCGGGCUUGAUUGACCAUUAGUUUCAUACUUCCGGUUUGACCAUUAGUUUCGCUGGCUAGCUAAUUGACUAUUAAUACUAUCAUUAUGUCCAGUUAAAUUCUAAAGAAAUACCAUAAUGGGAACAUAUAUGAUAGAUUGAUGGACAGAAGACCCCUAUAAAAGACAUUACAGGACUCACUUUCAGAUCAUAAACAUACACAAAUUAGUACUAGCAUAUAUCGUGAGUUAUUCCUUAUAAUCACUCGCGCAAUACUUGAACGCCAUGGCCUUAAUACAUGGUAGGAUGCAAAUGCUUAUUAUCCAGCUCUCUUUGUUAACGGUGGCAGUAACCCUAGCAUCUUCUCAAGCGCCAAGGCCUGCAACCUGCUCCGACCGCUGCGGUGAUGUCGAAAUCCCAUAUCCAUUCGGCAUAGAGCCUAGCUGUUACAUAGAGGUGCCGGAACAAGAUGAACAGCAAUUCAAGGUCACCUGUGACCACGCCACCACGCCACCGUUACUCAAGUUCUUGAACGGUGAUAUCCUCAACCAAAGCAUUACUAACAUUUCUGUAGGUGAGAGUGAGAUGCAAGUAAUGCUGCCCACAUCCCGGAACUGCUACACCAACGGUUCCUACGACGAUUCUUUGUACAGAAACAGUGAGCUCAUCCUCCCUUCUGGUUACACUAUCUCUGAUAAGAACAAGGUUUAUAUCAUUGGAUGUAACAAAAUAGCACUAUACCAAGGUUUUGUUACCCAAGUCGAGCCAGAGCGAACAGAAAUCGAGAAGCUGGGGACAACCGGGGUGAGCUUGUGCCAAGAUCUACUCGGAGCGUUGUCCAACAAUUGCAGUGGCGUCGGGUGUACCCAAAGGACCAUCAUAAGUGGACUUCACAGUAUUAACUUGGAUGUGUGGACAAUCGGUACUGGCCUUGGAAGCACAUCACAGUGGACACUAGACUACCCGUGCAGCUACGGUUUCAUUGUGGAUGAUCGCAAUUUCACCUUCGCCGGGAAUGCAACUUUUAAAGAGAUGGACAGCAGCACAAACGCGCCGGAGCUUCCGGUGACUGUUAACUGGGAAAUUGGAAAGGACAACUGUGAAGUUGCCCUCAAUAAUCAAACUUCUUAUGCAUGCAAGGCCGCAAAUACUGAAUGUGUCAACGGCACUUCAGGUGGAUAUUUCUGCCGGUGCCAGAAAGGUUACCAAGGGAACCCUUACGUCCUUGAUGGUUGCGAAGGUAAAACUCUUUUACAUUAAGCUCGUAAAUGUUUACCUGAUCCUUUUCUAACUAAUAUAUAUGUUUGGCUUUCGGUUUUGUUUUCAGAUGUUAAUGAGUGUACUAAUUCGACCAUCUGCCAUCCUACUUCAACAUGCGAAAAUUUAGUAGGAAGUUAUACUUGUAAAUGUCCCAAGGGCCAAACAAAUGACGACAAUAACAACAGUCCUUGUGUCAAAAUCAUCGGAAAACCAAAGAAUACUUCCCUCCAAAUUUCACUGGGUAUGGAUUUGCUAUCACUGAGCAUGAUUUACUUCUUAUUAUCGUUUGUACGUCAUAUUGAGUUGUACCAUGAUUAUGUGCAGGUGUCUGUUUGAGCUUUCUAGUCGUAUUGAUUAUAACAUUUUGGAUAUACUGCGGAAUGAAAAGAAGAAAGUUCAAGCAACUCAAAGAGAAGUACUUCAAAGACAAUGGUGGCUUCUUGUUACAACAAAAAUUGGAGAAUUUUGACGGACCUCAAGCAGCCAAAAUCUUUACAAGAGAAGAGCUUAAGAAGGCCACAAACAACUUCGAUGACAGCGGAAAAAUUGGCGAAGGAGGCUACGGAUUUGUUUACAAAGGAACAUUGACGGAUAGAAAGGAGGUUGCCAUAAAGGUGUCGAAGAGUAAUGCCCCAAUGACCCAAAGUAAUCAGUUCAUCAAUGAGGUGAUUGUUCUUUCACAAAUCAACCAUAGAAAUGUGGUGAGGCUCCUAGGUUGUUGCUUAGAGACUCAAACUCCUUUGUUAGUUUACGAGUUUGUUAGCAAUGGCACACUUUAUGUAGCACAUUCAUAAGAAGAAUGGCAAGGGUCCNNNNNNNNNNNNNNNNNNNNNNNNNNNNNNNNNNNNNNNNNNNNNNNNNNNNNNNNNNNNNNNNNNNNNNNNNNNNNNNNNNNNNNNNNNNNNNNNNNNNNNNNNNNNNNNNNNNNNNNNNNNNNNNNNNNNNNNNNNNNNNNNNNNNNNNNNNNNNNNNNNNNNNNNNNNNNNNNNNNNNNNNNNNNNNNNNNNNNNNNNNNNNNNNNNNNNNNNNNNNNNNNNNNNNNNNNNNNNNNNNNNNNNNNNNNNNNNNNNNNNNNNNNNNNNNNNNNNNNNNNNNNNNNNNNNNNNNNNNNNNNNNNNNNNNNNNNNNNNNNNNNNNNNNNNNNNNNNNNNNNNNNNNNNNNNNNNNNNNNNNNNNNNNNNNNNNNNNNNNNNNNNNNNNNNNNNNNNNNNNNNNNNNNNNNNNNNNNNNNNNNNNNNNNNNNNNNNNNNNNNNNNNNNNNNNNNNNNNNNNNNNNNNNNNNNNNNNNNNNNNNNNNNNNNNNNNNNNNNNNNNNNNNNNNNNNNNNNNNNNNNNNNNNNNNNNNNNNNNNNNNNNNNNNNNNNNNNNNNNNNNNNNNNNNNNNNNNNNNNNNNNNNNNNNNNNNNNNNNNNNNNNNNNNNNNNGUGGGAGAUAGUUCAUCAAUUAGCUAGCUUAUCUUCCAUAGCUAGCUAGUUAUAUGUGGAGUUGUUCUUAACUUUUUUUGCUACUUUCGAGUAUGUUGCGUGUUAAAUAAAAGACGUCUGAUCAUACUGCUGCAGUUAGUGCAGUGCUGCAUAUGCAUGUAAUGACGGUAAUAUCGAUCUGUUGUAUAUUUUCCAUUUUGGCCAAAAUGUGAGUGGUAAAAUAUUUGUAGUUCGCUUCAUGAAAAUUGUUCGCCUCUUCUCUCUGAAAAAUUAUAUCACUUAAUCUGUUAUUUAAUUAAAAGAAGAAAAACAUUAGAUAGGACUAAUAUUACAACAAACUAUAUAUCCUCAAACAUAAAAUGAGAUGUAAUACUACCAGGACAAGCACUUUAACCGACGAAAAAAUUUCGUCGGCCUGUUAGCUUAAUUCGUCGGCUAAGAUCUUACCCGACGAUCCUUCGUCGGCUAUAGUUUCGUCGGGAAAAGGUCGUCGACGAUG